UACGGAGGGGGCUAGCGUUGUUCGGAAUCAUUGGGCGUAAAGGGCGUGUAGGCGGCCGAUCAAGUCGGGUGUGAAAUCCCUCGGCUCAACCGAGGAACUGCACUCGAUACUGAUUGGCUAGAGUCCGGGAUGGGGUGGCGGAAUUCCCAGUGUAGCGGUGAAAUGCGUAGAUAUUGGGAAGAACACCGGUAGCGAAGGCGGCCACCUGGACCGGUACUGACGCUGAGGCGCGAAAGCCAGGGGAGCGAAUGGG
rnacentral:rRNA from 1 species